rnacentral:lncRNA from 1 species
CAAUGGCCGACCUGUCGCUCUGGGUCGCCCCUCGAGGUGGGCUUGUGCGGGAAACACUCUUUGAUCUCUGGGCUCUCCGGGUGCACUUUGUUGUGCCAUAUAACUCAGAUCACUUGAAAAAAAAAAAAGAUUUGGCCCGUGUCUUUCAGUGGGACCAGGAGUUACUCAGAGUGCGCUGGAACCACGCCUUCCUGACAGUGCCUCUCUUCCUGUGUCGGCGCCCUCUUGACUGAAAUAAAUCCCGCAAACCCCACGAGCACGCGUUUCCUCUCUCUGGUGAGUCGGCCUUGCUCUGUCUUGAAUGGUGAAGCUCAAGGGCUCGUGUUCAUGACUGCAUUCAACCAACACAUCCAGCGCUGGCUUCCUCCUGGGGAAAUGCAGCUGUCCAGGCCACUCUGUGCUUUUAGGGCUGCCCAGUAAACUGAUGACAAGGCCCCAUAUCUAAUGAAAUGGAGUUGAGGAAAAGUGUAGAAGAU